CAGUCGCCGCGGUAAUACGUAGGUCCCGAGCGUUGUCCGGAUUUAUUGGGCGUAAAGCGAGCGCAGGCGGUUAGGUAAGUCUGAAGUUAAAGGCUGUGGCUUAACCAUAGUACGCUUUGGAAACUGUUUAACUUGAGUGCAAGAGGGGAGAGUGGAAUUCCAUGUGUAGCGGCGAAAUGCGUAGAUAUAUGGAGGAACACCGGUAGCGAAAGCGGCUCUCUGGCUUGUGACUGACGCUGAGGCUCGAAAGCGUGGGGAGCAAACAGGAUUAGAUACCCCCGUAGUCCCUGUCUCUUAUACA
rnacentral:rRNA from 1 species